rnacentral:tRNA from 1 species
GGCUACCUGGCGCAAUGGUAGCGCGUUUGGCUUCGAUUGCCUCCAUACCAAAAGGCUGCAGGUUCGAGUCCUGCGGUGGUCA